AUAAAUGCGGUGGCGCCCGGCGUAGGGGCACUUCGCUCCUGAGCGCUUGGGAGUUCGGUCGUUUGCCGGCGUAGCGGCCAGUGCCUGAGCCCUCUCUUGCUCUUCGCUGUGGCAUGGCGGACGAGGGGAAGUCGUACAGCGAUUCCUUAUGGCAGAAAGUAUGACAAGGCAUGGCUCCUGAGCAUGAUUCAGAGCAAGUGCAGUGUGCCCUUCACCCCUAUUGAGAUUUGGUGUCCCAGAACAUUGACGUUGUCCUGAAUCGCAGAAGCUGUAUGGCAGCUACCCUGAGGAUCAUUGAAGAGAACAUCCCUGAGUUGAAGUCUGAGCGGGAAUUGGACAAGAUAAAGGGGCUGAAGCUAGAAGAGCUCUGGCUCGAUGGAAACUCCCUUUGUGACACCUUCCGAGACCAGUCCACCUACAUCAGGAUGGCCAUGAGCUACCCCCACCAAUUGCCUUUGAUGUUGAAGCCCCCACGACGUUACCGCCCUGCAAGGUAGGAAGCAUGGAUAGAGUAAGAACUUGUGUGUGGGGAGAAUACUGCUUCCAUGUUCGUAAUACCUGUUUCAUUUCAGGGAAGCUAUUUUGGAACAGAAAACUUGAAGAGUCUGGUCUUGCACUUCCUGCAACAAAGCAGCUUGGCCGAGUAUUUCAAGGAUAGCAGAAAUGUGA
rnacentral:sRNA from 1 species